rnacentral:tRNA from 1 species
GGGUGCUUAGCUCAGCAGGUCAGAGCGUCGCCCUUACAAGGCGAAAGUCGGGGGUUCGACUCCCUCAGCACCCACCA